rfam:Salmo salar isolate Sally breed double haploid chromosome ssa03, whole genome shotgun sequence.
UGCAUUCACUACUGUAAGUCGCUCUGGAUAAGAGCGUCUGCUAAAUUACUGAAA